rnacentral:rRNA from 1 species
UCGCCUACACGAAGUUGGAAUUGCUAGUAAUCGUGGAUCAGCAUGCCACGGUGAAUACGUUCCCGGGUCUUGUACACACCGCCCGUCACACCAUGGGAGCUGGUAACACCCGAAGUCAGUAGUCUAACCGCAAGGAGGACGCUGCCGAAGGUGGGAUUAGCGACUGGGGUGAAGUCGUAACAAGGUAUC